rnacentral:misc_RNA from 1 species
UUCACAAUAUAAGUCAUUCUAGCAUUUCCCACAUUCAUAUUAAUGCUAAUGAAUCUAGAUAUCAAUAUGAAUGUGGGAAAUGCUAGAAUGACUUACAUUGUGAAACGGAG